rnacentral:rRNA from 1 species
GGGACACGUGGUAUCCUGUCUGAAUAUGGGGGGACCAUCCUCCAAGGCUAAAUACUCCUGACUGACCGAUAGUGAACCAGUACCGUGAGGGAAAGGCGAAAAGAACCCCGGCGAGGGGAGUGAAAAAGAACCUGAAACCGUGUACGUACAAGCAGUGGGAGCCUCUUUUAUGGGGUGACUGCGUACCUUUUGUAUAAUGGGUCAGCGACUUAUAUUCUGUAGCAAGGUUAACCGAAUAGGGGAGCCGAAGGGAAACCGAGUCUUAACUGGGCGUUAAGUUGCAGGGUAUAGACCCGAAACCCGGUGAUCUAGCCAUGGGCAGGUUGAAGGUUGGGUAACACUAACUGGAGGACCGAACCGACUAAUGUUGAAAAAUUAGCGGAUGACUUGUGGCUGGGGGUGAAAGGCCAAUCAAACCGGGAGAUAGCUGGUUCUC